UUUAUGGAGAGUUUGAUCCUGGCUCAGGAUGAACGCUGGCGGCGUGCCUAAUACAUGCAAGUCGAGCGAACGGCCUGACGGAGCAACGCCGCGUGAGUGAUGAAGGUCUUCGGAUCGUAAAACUCUGUUAUUAGGGAAGAACAUAUGUGUAAGUAACUGUGCACAUCUUGACGGUACCUAAUCAGAAAGCCACGGCUAACUACGUGCCAGCAGCCGCGGUAAUACGUAGGUGGCAAGCGUUAUCCGGAAUUAUUGGGCGUAAAGCGCGCGUAGGCGGUUUUUUAAGUCUGAUGUGAAAGCCCACGGCUCAACCGUGGAGGGUCAUUGGAAACUGGAAAACUUGAGUGCAGAAGAGGAAAGUGGAAUUCCAUGUGUAGCGGUGAAAUGCGCAGAGAUAUGGAGGAACACCAGUGGCGAAGGCGACUUUCUGGUCUGUAACUGACGCUGAUGUGCGAAAGCGUGGGGAUCAAACAGGAUUAGAUACCCUGGUAGUCCACGCCGUAAACGAUGAGUGCUAAGUGUUAGGGGGUUUCCGCCCCUUAGUGCUGCAGCUAACGCAUUAAGCACUCCGCCUGGGGAGUACGACCGCAAGGUUGAAACUCAAAGGAAUUGACGGGGACCCGCACAAGCGGACUGCCGGUGACAAACCGGAGGAAGGUGGGGAUGACGUCAAAUCAUCAUGCCCCUUAUGAUUUGGGCUACACACGUGCUACAAUGGACAAUACAAAGGGCAGCGAAACCGCGAGGUCAAGCAAAUCCCAUAAAGUUGUUCUCAGUUCGGAUUGUAGUCUGCAACUCGACUACAUGAAGCUGGAAUCGCUAGUAAUCGUAGAUCAGCAUGCUACGGUGAAUACGUUCCCGGGUCUUGUACACACCGCCCGUCACACC
rnacentral:rRNA from 1 species